UUGCUGAUGAGUUUGCACUCUUGAAAGACUAAAAGUGGCAGAGAGCUCCCUGGACUCUCAUUGCCUAGGAGAAACAUGGCUGGACUAGAAAACUGGCUGGAAUAGAUGCACUGGGAAAAAUAAUGAGUUCUUAUCCUUGACAAGAGAAGAGAUUUCAAAACCUACAAGAAAGAUCUCUCCUAAAAUAUUUGAAAUAAGAAGUAAAUUAAAACUAGCUGAAACUCAAACAUAAUCCCAACCCAGUUGAACUCCUGUUUGGACUGAAGAAGUUAUUUUCUUAUAUCAGUUGUCAAAUGUUUAGUUCUCAUGUGUGAAUGUGGCGUGGAAAAAAGUGCUUGAAUUUAAUGCGCCAUUAUACGUCAAAAUAACUGAAGACUUCUGCAUUGUUGGAUUUCAGUGACACUUUUUCUCAGAGAGGGGCACUGUAACUGAGUACUUUACUGCCCAAUAGCAGGUUGAAUUUCCCAGCCCUGCUGACAUCUAGGAGAGGCCAUGGGACUAAACUUCUACCAAUGGCAAGUUCUCUCCAUAUGGUAACACUCACUUUUAGUUGACUAUUGUUUUUAAUAACCAGCUAUUCUCCCUUGGACCAAAAGAAUAUUGCCAUGCUGUAUACACAGAGAUGGAGAAUUCAAGUUGGUAGCUUCAAGAAACUACACCAGCUUUCUUCUCGCUUCUUCUUUUAAUCCCAUUGUUGAUGCCUGUGAUGAACAAAGUGAAUCAUACAGCAAAGACAUCUGAGCCUGUGAGGAACUGGUACUCUGACAACUGAGACAUGGAGGAUGAGACUUCAGAAUCCCCAGACAUAAGAGGAGCCAAUGAAUUCCAAGUAGAUGAAUUAAGUGAGCCUCUUUUAGGAUCAAGAAUCUCCAUUGCUGCUGAACAUGAUGUAUGAAAUCCUGCCCGCCUCACGCACGGAGUAAGGAAAAAAGUGGAGCUAGGUGGAGAAACAGCAAUAAAGUGCAUGGAAACUUCUGCAGACUCAACUGGCAAACUGAUCCUUCAUGAAGACUCAAGGGCAAGGGGUUUCUAUCCCUUUUUUAAUUCUUCCAGUUUACUCAUUUCCCCUGUAUGUGACUUAUUUCCUGAGGCAGCCAGGAGGCACA